ACACGACUACAUUAGAUACCCGUGUAGUCCUAGCCGUAAACGAUACUCGCUAGGUGUCGGCCACGGGUGCGACCCGUUGUCGGUGCCGUAGGGAAGCCGUGAAGCGAGCCACCUGGGAAGUACGGCCGCAAGGCUGAAACUUAAAGGAAUUGGCGGGGGAGCACAACAACGGGUGGAGCUUGCGGUUUGAUUGGAUUCAACGCCGGAAAUCUUACCGGGACCGACAGCAACAUGAAGGCCAAGCUGAAGACUUUGCCGGAUUAGCUG
rnacentral:rRNA from 1 species